UGUGUGUGUGGUGUGGUGGGGGUGGGCCGGGGGCCGACUUACAGAGCCGUGUAGGCAGGAAACCUUCCCUGCUCACACACGCUUACCAUGCAGCCAUGGGGGUGGAGAGAUGCUAUGUAGUUAAACCCAAGGCAGCCUGUGGAUACAACACUUCCAGCGUGACACUCGCAGAGAACGGCAAAAGCUCAGCCUCAAAUACACACACACACACACACACACAUAGAACAGCAGAUCUCAACAGGAUACUGCAGUCAGUCACAGGCACAUGAGCACUGGAGGAAAUGGAGUGAGAAGAAAAAGGAAGAGACAAAUCACACACAUGCCAUGUGUGCAGAGAAGCAGAUUGUCCGCUAUCAGCGGUGAUGGUGCGCGGAGGAAGAAUGCGAGCAUACAGCGAAGUCAAACAAAAGUUCCUCAGAUGACAAUUCCUGAAACAGAAUAGGAUGGACUUGCUAAAACCGAAUCCCGCACUCAUCCUGCAUCGCAGUACAGAGACGUUAAUGGAGCUCUGACUCUCUUUCGGUGUAUUUGCGGCUCUUGAAGAGGCUGAACGAAGGGGGAAGUCAAGGACCCCGCACAUGCAGGCAGCGCUCAGCCAUGAGGAAAUACUCUUUUCACCCAGACAGAGGUUAUCCAGACAGGCUCAAUCUAUUCAGAUCACAUGAUGCUUCAUUUCAAUAUAGGUGAGCAUAUGGUUAUAAUUCAUUUAUAUAUCAUUUAAUAUUGCAGCAAAUUUCCUGCCUCACUGCAUUUACCAACAACUUCAGUAUCUUCAGUCUUGUGGAUGCAUAAAUGUAUAAUGAAAAAAUUGCGAUAACAAAUUCAGUCUAACACAUUUUAAAGUUCUCAGAACAACCGAGUGUUCAAAUUGAAUAGAAAUUCCACAUCAGUGGAAGCUGCAAAGCUCUUACACUUUAACUUGCCAUCACAUUUAAUCUGAAAUGUGCAGAAAUUUCUGCUGCAGCACUUUGAAAAGAACCUUAGCUCAGAACUUCAGUAUCUACAAUACAAGCCGUGUCUUAUGUGCUGACUAGCAGGCCCUUGGGCUGAGCAGUGACUGUGGAAGUUUAUGAAUGGAAUGUGCUGGAAUUCUCCUAAUGUUUACAGGUCAUUCAUGUGAAGUCGCAGACUGGGGUUUCUCCUUAGGAGCAGACAAUAGUGUUGCAGCAGGAAACACAUAUCUCCCUCGAGAGCUUCACGGCAUGCUCCCUCACCCUGAUGUAGCGCCACACACAAGAAAAUAAAAAAAUGGAGCAAAUUAGGAAGAGUUAAUAGGGUGGUAGAUGCAUGUAUAUUUAUAAUUUUAUCACAUUAAUUGUUUAGUUUACUUAAAGCAUGGCUUUUGGGAUUUACGUCUUUAAAUAGUGUCCGUUCGUGCAUUUAAUUUUCAGAGCCCAUUGUUGGUGCUGCCAGAAAAAAUACAAUAGUAAUGUAAAUGGAACAGAAUGAAACAAUAUAGCUGUCAACAUCAGCUGUCACUCUGCAAAUGAAACAGCAAAUUUUGACAGAGUUUUUAAUCCCUAGAAUCCAAAGCACUUUACGGUCAACAAAGCAGACAGUCAGUAUUUCAUUUAAACCGCAUAAUCAUAACUCUAGCAUAGCAUAAACUAAGCCCACGUUUACAAGACACAACAACACAGAGAUCCAUUCUACAAGCACCAUUCUAUUAAGGCCACUCUCACAUGACAGUUCACUGCUCACUAAAUGGCCUUAACUGUUUCAAAAACACUCUCUUAGAAAAGGGUACUGUGUCCGUACCAUGGUACAGUGAUAGAUAGAUCUUGUCAUUCUUUGAAAUAUGGGUCAAUGGUGUGACGCUCAUUUUUUGUUUUUAUCUUUAAUUUAUUUUUUUUGUGUGUCUACACUACUGUUUAGAUUUGUAUUUUUUUUUAAGUCUGUUUUGUUCUCCAAGGCUGCAUUUACAUGAUCAAAAAAUACAUUAAAACAGUAAUAUUAAUAUAUUAGUGAAAUAAUAGUGAAAUGUUAAUAUAUUUUAAAAUGUAGUUUAUUCCUGUGAUGACAAAGCUGAAUUUUAGUAGUCAUUUAGUAACUCCAGUCUUCACUAUCACAUGAUCCUUCAGAAAUUAUUCUAAUAUGCUGAUUUGGUGCUCAAGAAACCCUUCUUAUAACAGCUUAGCUGCUUAAUAUUUUUGUGGAAACAAAAGAUACGUUUUUUCCAGGAUUCUUUAAUGAAUAGAAAAUUUUAAAAGAAAAUUUAUAAUUUGUUUGGAAUAGAAUUAGUAACAAUGUAAUGUCUUUUACCAUUCUGGAAUCAAACAGACACAAUUAGUCCAUCCUUGUUCGAUAAAAACCAUCAGUAGUUCUCUGACAUCAUGCAGUCACUGUCCCAUGGACUAAUCAGACUACUUACAGAGGGCCGAACACUGACAGUGAGCAGGGACAGAGCAUUGGAAUUCAGGUUAGGAAUGAACUCCCUAAUGGAGAAAAAUUGGAGUCAAGUGACCAUCAGCUGGUCGAAGUAUGUUUGAUCAAUACAGUCACAAGGUCUCAGGUAUGCAGAGCUGGAGCCUUUACAGGAGGGUGCAAAGACGGCCUACAGUGUCUGCAUGCUCCUGUCAGUCAAGCUUUAUUAUUAACCAGUACAAUAUUCUUUUACAUAAAUUGCCUUAAACGCUCAGCAUCCUUGCCAACAGGAAGUAUUUAGCACUAUAUGUGAGUCACUCUCUUUUGUUUGUCUAGCUGAGGAUGAUUUAAUUAGUCACCGACCCAAUCAAAGUGCACCUUUGGUGGCAAACAAGCACCCACUUUUAAUUAAUAAGACUUGAAUUGAGUGCUCUGAAUGAUGUAGCCUAAUGCGUGCCAAACCACUAAGUGGAUUCGAGAAAUAAUAGUCGCAAAACCAGGCUUACAUUUUCAUGAUAUCUAACAGCCUUAACACAAUACUCUGGUCAAACAAAGGUUUAUGGUACUGUUUGUUAUGAGAAAAAAAGCACAAAGCAGGUCUGGUUAGGUUAAAAGGGUGUGAUAUGAGCACCUUUAAAACGGGUCGGAGCCAUAGCCUCUGUCUGCCUGUCUCCAGGCUAAUGGGAAAGAAUGAGAAAUAUUUGCGAGAGUGCUAACGCCAUGCUUAAAAAUGCCCAUCGGGAGAUUAGCUCCCCCUCCCCUGUGCUGCCUGUCUGUGUGCUGCAAGCAAAAAGGAGGGCUUUUGUCGUCCUCUGGAGUUGCAGACACUUUGAUAUGGGGUUGUCUAACCAUUUGCUUCUUUGUCUCUGUCUUCCUCAGGCACUGAGGACAGCUCAAGUGGACUGCCGCUGCCAGUGGCUUGUUAGGGUGCUUAUGAGGUGCUCAGUAGUCAGUGUAGAUCCUGUGUUGCAAUCAGCAGCUACAUCUGGCUACUGGGUCUCUGAUGGCAUUUGCUGCUUCCUGUUGGCACAUUCCUUUCAGAUUGUGUGGUAUGUUAUCACAAUG